GAAUAUUGCACAAUGGGGGAAACCCUGCUGCAGCGACGCCGCGUGAGUGAAGAAGUACUUCGGUACGUAAAGCUCUAUCAGCAGGGAAGAAGAUGACGGUUCCGGACUAAGAACACCCCGCUAACGACGUGCCAGCAGCCGCGGUAAUACGUAGGGGGCAAGCGUUAUCCGGAUUUAAUGGGUGUAAAGGGAGCGUAGGUGGCGAAGCAAGUCAGAUGUGAAGGCCCGGGGCUCAACUCCGGGACUGCAUUUGAAACUGUUUUGCUAGAGUGCAGGAGAGGUAAGUGGAAUUCCUAGUGUAGCGGUGAAAUGAGUAGAUAUUAGGAGGAACACCAGUGGCGAAGGCGGCUUACUGCACUGUAACUGACACUGGGGCUCGAAAGCAUGGGGAGCAAACA
rnacentral:rRNA from 1 species